UCCCUGGUGGCUCACAUGGUAAAGCGUCUGCCUGCAAUGCAGGAGACCUGGGUUUGAUUCCUGGGUUGGGAA
rnacentral:tRNA from 1 species